UUGGGGACCCAGUCCCAAAAUGUCCAAAGGACGAAGGAAGAGUCCAAUGGGGCCGAGGCUGGGAUUGAUCCAGAGUGCAAAUUUCCCCUCGCCCCUCCCUAAAGCAGACCUGCCCCGAGCACCAUGAGGGCCGUGGAGAAGUUAGCCCUGCAGCUGGGGAGACAUCUGUGAUCUGGCGGAGAGAGGUUCUUUCCACAGAGGCUGCUAUUUCUGCAUGACCUAAUCCGGGCUCGCUGAUCCUCUGCACUGUGACUCACGGCAUGCAUGGUCCUUCGGUCGCUGCGGCGGGCUGCAGGGCUUCGCGGUGGCCUUUUGCUCUUCCUAGAGGACAGCUCUCCUUGACUUGCGUGCCAUGAACUCUUCGACACUUUUCCAUUUCUGCCUGGUAAGAUCACCACGAUCCGCAGGAACAGCAGAUUGUCACCCUAAGACCUUCUGAGCAACAAGCCAUACAUUAGCCAGCCAGGGCCCGCACGGGUCCAGGAUGAGGUCUGUAUGCGCAGUGCUCCCAAAGGAGCCACUGGCAGCUCUCAGGAAUUACACAGCUAGGAGCCACUAGUGUGGGGCAGCCUGCCUUGUCAAGCAGGAUCCUGCAGAGCUGGGCAGCUGCCAGUCAGUCUGUCAAGACGUGAACUAUUUUGGGAAUUUUUAUGAUGGAACAAUAUUUUUUCGGUAAACAAACGGAAAGCUGUUAAACAGGGACCUUCACCUCGCAGCUCCCGGUUCAGCUCCCUCACUGCUGCGAUGCCACAGUGACUGCACUGUCCGCGCUGCAGAGCUCCCUUCAUGGCUCCAGCAGGGGCAAAACAAAUAGCUUUUUUUUUUUUUUUUUUUUUUUUCUCCCUUUUUAUGAACUUCUCAACAAAAAAAAAAAAA